UAAUGUUGUUGAUGCCAAACCUAUUCCCACAUAUAUAAACAGUACAUUCCAUGCACGCUGAUGCACUACAAAAACACAGUCUUAUAUUCAAAACCAAUUGUACAAAACUUUGUUUCUUCCUCAUUUCUUUAUCACAACCUAUAAUUCUUCUUCAACUAAUCCUGACCCUAAAUUUUCCAUUUCCCUAGGUGUUUUCUCUUUGCUCUCAGGGUUUCUCAUAGACCUUGUUCCAUAGCUAUUUUGGCAUUCUGUCCACCUCCACUAUCAUUUGGUUAUUCUAAUCAUUCUCAUGCCGAUCAAAGAGUGGAGUGAUAAGGAGGUUGAGGGCUCAAAUCCCACCACAAAAUCUAACAUACUAACAUUUGACGAUAAAAAAAGAGAGUUAUUCCCAUGCAGAUGGUGACAGAUUUGGAGGUGGCCAGUAGGCCAAAAGAGUUGUGUGAAUUUGUCUUUGAGAAACCCCUUGAGGGCAUAACACUGCCCUUUUUUCUUCUGAACAAGUAUAUAUCCUUGUCUAGAUCAUGCAAUUGAUCAUUUAAUUUAAUUUUCUCUUUUUCAGGGUUUCUAUACUAAUCAAAAAACAUAAUGCUUUUGCCCCAUUUGAUGAAAAUACUUGAAGGUAGGAAGCAAUAUAGUUGAUGAAAAUACGAAUCAAGGAUAUGCUUUUAAGGUUUGAAGUCAACCAUCAAAAUUUAACUUUAUCACAUCAAUGUAUGUUUGUUUUAUUUUAUUAGAAUAGAGAUCAUAUUACAAGUAUCUUCAACUAUGGAUGUAUCAUAAUUUUAUUAGAUAGGGAUAGAAUUUGAGACACACUUUUGACAUACUUUUUGUACCCUUAUAAAUGUUUAAACUUUAAACCAUUAUGGAUAAUUGCAUGUGACUCC